rnacentral:rRNA from 1 species
GCAUAUCAAUAAGCGGAGGAAAAGAAACCAACAGGGAUUGCCUCAGUAACGGCGAAGUGAAGCGGCAAAAGCUCAAAUUUGAAAUCUAGUACCUCUGGUGCUCGAGUUGUAAUUUGAAGACGGCGACUUUGGGCAUGGCCUUUAUCUAUGUUCCUUGGAACAGGACGUCACAGAGGGUGAGAAUCCCGUCUGAUGAGGAGAUCCAUGCCUGUGUAAAGUGCUGUCGACGAGUCGAGUUGUUUGGGAAUGCAGCUCUAAGUGGGUGGUAAAUUCCAUCUAAAGCUAAAUAUUGGCGAGAGACCGAUAGCGAACAAGUACAGUGAUGGAAAGAUGAAAAGAACUUUGAAAAGAGAGUGAAAAAGUACGUGAAAUUGUUGAAAGGGAAGGGUAUUAGAUCAGACUUGGCGGAGCGUGCUUACCGUAGACUUGUUUUGCGGGCACUGGCGCUGUUGCUGGGCCAGCAUCGAUUGGGAGAUUGGCAGGAUAAUUGCGGUGGAAUGUGGCACUGUUCUUUGAGCGGUGUGUUUAUAGCCAGCGUGGAUACUGCCGGACUCGAUCGAGGACUGCGUCGAUUUAUUGACUAGGAUGCUGGCGUAAUGAUCUAAUAUCGCCCGUCUUGAAACACGGACCAAGGAGUCUAACGUCUAUGCGAGUGUUUGGGUGUGAAACCCAUACGCGUAAUGAAAGUGAACGUAGAUGAGGGCUUGUUUAAGCGAGCGCAUCAUCGACCGAUCCUGAUGUCUUCGGAUGGAUUUGAGUAAGAGCAUAGCUGUUGGGACCCGAAAGAUGGUGAACUAUGCCUGAAUAGGGUGAAGCCAGAGGAAACUCUGGUGGAGGCUCGUAGCGGUUCUGACGUGCAAAUCGAUCGUCGAAUUUGGGGUAUAGGGGCGAAAGACUAAUCGAACCAUCUAGUAGCUGGUUUCUGCC